CCCCCAGGCAGACCUCAUCACCCACCAAGGAGGUGUCUAAAGGCACAGAGGACUGGCUGUUCCCUGGAGACGUCCUCCCCACCCCCACAGGUCCCUGCAGCGAGCCGCUGGGCCUGGACGACGGCAGGAUCCACUACCAGCAGCUGAGCGCCUCCUCC